rnacentral:piRNA from 1 species
UAUGAAGUUGCCUCUGACCUCACAUGAC